GGAGGUUCAUCCAGGGAAUCUGUCACAACAUUCUCUUACGGAAGGUUCUUCCAGGGAAUCUGUCACAACAUUCUCUUACGGAAGGUUCUUCCAGGGAAUCUGUCACAACAUUCUCUUACGGAAGGUUCUUCCAGGGAAUCUGUCACAACAUUCUCUUACGGAAGGUUCUUCCAGGGAAUCUGUCACAACAUUCUCUUACGGAAGGUUCUUCCAGGGAAUCUGUCACAACAUUCUCUUACAGAAGGUUCUUCCAGGGAAUCGGUCACAACAUUCUCUUACGGAAGGUUCAAUGGUUUUUCAUAUUUAAACGAGUUUCUUUGACGUUUUAAACACAAUGGAUAUUUCUUUGCACGUAGAGAGUCUAGGAUUAUGAAGGUAUAUACAUUAAAUGAAUGUACAGUGACCUCACAUAGAUAGGAAAACUACAGUAGAGCUAACAAUGCAGUAAAAAUAUAUCUAAAUGUUCAGACAGAAAGUUCCAGGGUUAGAGAGAACAACCUCACUCUACAGACCAGGGUGAUAUGUUACAUAGCUGUGAACAGGACCUCGUUGGGUUGGCAAAUGGACAAAUGGGUAUUUUAACGGGCUAACAAGUAUUGGUAGCCGCUGCUGUCAUUAACAACACUGGACCUAUGUUUAAACUCAUGUCUAAAAUGGCAUCCUAUUCCCUACAUAAUGCACUACUUUAGACCGGGACCCUAUCCCCUAUAUAGUGCACUACUUUAGACCAGAGCCCUAUUCCCUAUGUAGUGCACUACUUUAGACCAGGGCCCUAUUCGAUAUAUAGUGCACUACUUUAGACCAGGGCCCUAUUCCCUACAUAGUGCACUACUUUAGACCAGGGCCCUAUUCCCUACAUAGUGCACUACUUUAGACCAGGACCCUAUCCCCUAUAUAGUGCACUACUUCAAACCAGAGCCCUAUUCCCUAUGUAGUGCACUACUUUAGACCAGAGCCCUAUCCCCUAUAUAGUGCACUACUUUAAACCAGAGCCCUAUAUAGUGCACUACUUUAGACCAGAGACCUAUUCCCUAUAUAGUGCACUACUAUAGACCAGAGCCCUAUUCCCUAUGUAGUGCACUACUAUAGACCAGAGCCCUUUUUCCCUAUAUAGUGCACUACUAUAGACCAGAGCCCUAUUCCCUAUGUAGUGCACUACUAUAGACCAGAGCCCUAUUCCCUAUAUAGUGGUACUACUUUAGACCAGGGCCCUAUUCCCUAUAUAGUGGUACUACUAUAGACCAGAGCCCUAUUCCCUAUAGUGUGCACUACUAUAGACCAGAGCCCUAUUCCCUAUAUAGUGGUACUACUAUAGACCAGAGCCCUAUUCCCUAUAGUGGUACUACUAUAGACCAGAGCCCUAUUCCCUAUAUAGUGGUACUACUUUAGACCAGGGCCCUAUUCCCUAUAUAGUGGUACUACUAUAGACCAGGGCCCUAUUCCCUAUAUAGUGCACUACUUUAGACCAGGGCCCUAUUCCCUAUAGUGGUACUACUUUAGACCAGAGCCCUAUUCCCUAUAUAGUGGUACUACUUUAGACCAGGGCCCUAUUCCCUAUAUAGUGCACUACUUUAGACCAGAGUCCAAUGGCCAACUAAGACACUUUACUGACUGGUUUAUUUAUAGCGUCAUCUUAUACUUGAAUGAUCACAGUUGAUUUAAUUGAAUGUUAGAAAUAUUUAUUUUUGUGAAAACAUUGUGAAAAUGGAUUUUCUUCUUAUUUUUUAAAAUUGAUUUAUUUUUUACUUCAGUUCAUUUUAGUAAACACUUAUAUUUCUUUAAAUUGCAUGGUUGGUUAAUGGCUUGUAAAGUAAACAUUUCACAUGUUGUGUUUGGCGCAUGUGACAAAUAAAAUUAGAUUUUGAUUUGAAACCUGCUGUGGACUAGUUACUCUCUCUUUACAUAUAUGCAA
ensembl:lncRNA